AUGCGCAAAGCAUGGUGGACAGAGGAAACACUGAAGCUGGUCACAGCCUGCGUGAGGACUGGGAGCAAAGGGCUGGUGCUGAGACUCCUUCCUAGGAGUGCACUCGGGAGUUCUGGGAGGGGCAGUGUGAGAGCUGUGGAUUUGGGGCAGUGGAAGGGCUUUGUGAAAGUUCUGAAUUUAAGCGUGACCAGAGGAAAGUUGGAAAGACACCCUAAUAUAUUUGUUCAGUCUGUAGUUUGCUGGAGUUGGUUUUUUUCUAUUUUGGUGGUGCUGGAGAUGAAACGCAGGGCUUGCAGCCUAGGCAAGAGUGCUACCCUUCAGACACACCCUGAUCCCCCGGAUUGUUAUAUGGCUAGAUGCUGGAAGGGGACAGACACAUCACAGAAUUCUUCACUGUCAGGCAGCAAAGGUCACAGGAGUCUUGUCCUUGCUUUGGUAUGGAUCCUGGGGCUCGUGUCCAACCCUUCUUCCUCAGUUCUCCAUGGAUUUGCUCUUGCUCGUUUGAAUCGGCUGACAGUUGGAGCAUGGUGCUGGUCCUCUCCACUCUACCUUGGGCUGUAACUUCGUGUUUGAUGAGUUGAACUCCGAGCAAGACAUGAAACUUAGUAUGUGCUUCUAUGUAAUAGUUUUAAAAUCUCUGAAAAUGUGUACCUUCGAUCUGUUAAGUAGGACAAACAAGAUCUAGCCACCAACAGGAAGCAGCAUGCUUCAGCUGUGUACGUGGGAAUAUUUCAAGAAGGUUAAUGCAAAUACCUUCUAGAGGUUGCCUUUGGGGUGAGACUGGAGGCAAGGGUGGGAAUAGUAUUUAAGACAGUUUUCUCAAAACUGUGUGUUACCUUUUGAAAAACAAGCAAAUGUGCAUUUUUAAAAUAUUACACCAUAUUGGUUAAUCUGGCAAUAAUGGAUAAAAUAGAACAAUAAUAAACUUAACGAGUGUCAAGAUUGUGUCUUAUGGUCUGUCUUAGUUACUUUUCUCUCGUUGCUGAGACAAAGUACUGAACACCUAAGGUUAAAGGAGGAAAGGUUUAUUUAGCUCACAGUCUGUAGGGGUUUCAGUCCAUAAUCAGUUGGCUCUAAGGCAAGGUGGCAUCGCAGAGGAGAAACAGUUCAUAGCGGUAGAAAAAACAGCCUCUUUCUGCCCCUUUUAUCUUAUUCUAACUGCUAGGAUUAGGGCGGUGCUAAUCCAAUCAGUGGACUGAUCCAGAAGUCACCCACCCUUACUCCCAGCACUCCUAGUCCCAGCAUUGAACCAUGAAUCAGUCACAAACUCUAGAUUCAGCCACCUCUGAAAAAUCCCUGACUAAAAGAGCAUGGGGCUUUGGAAGGACAGUUAGACACAAACUAUAACACGGUCCAUGCUGAAUUCUCAAUGCCAGCUACAGAGGUCAGCUUUCAACAGUGGUUCUUUCUAAGUAAUAAGAUAAAAGGGGGCUGGGGAUAUAGUUUAGCAGCACUAGCGAUUGCUUGGCAAGCGCAAGGUACUGAGUUCGAUUCCUGGUACCAAAAAAAACAAACAAACAAGAAGUUAAUAACAUUUUUUUCUCUUCCCCAAACUUUC
rnacentral:lncRNA from 1 species